rnacentral:rRNA from 1 species
AUUGAACGCUGGCGGCAGGCCUAACACAUGCAAGUCGAGCGGAUGAAGGGAGCUUGCUCCUGGAUUCAGCGGCGGACGGGUGAGUAAUGCCUAGGAAUCUCCCUGGUAGUGGGGGAUAACGUCCGGAAACGGGCGCUAAUACCGCAUACGUCCUGAGGGAGAAAGUGGGGGAUCUUCGGACCUCACGCUAUCAGAUGAGCCUAGGUCGGAUUAGCUAGUUGGUGGGGUAAAGGCCUACCAAGGCGACGAUCCGUAACUGGUCUGAGAGGAUGAUCAGUCACACUGGAACUGAGACACGGUCCAGACUCCUACGGGAGGCAGCAGUGGGGAAUAUUGGACAAUGGGCGAAAGCCUGAUCCAGCCAUGCCGCGUGUGUGAAGAAGGUCUUCGGAUUGUAAAGCACUUUAAGUUGGGAGGAAGGGCAGUAAGUUAAUACCUUGCUGUUUUGACGUUACCAACAGAAUAAGCACCGGCUAACUUCGUG